CGCGUAGGCGGAUAUAUAAGUCAGAUGUGAAAUUUCGGUGCUCAACAUCGAAGCUGCAUUUGAAACUGUAAAUCUAGAGGAUGGAAGGAGAAAACGGAAUUCCACGUGUAGCGGUGAAAUGCGUAGAUAUGUGGAAGAACACCUGUGGCGAAAGCGGUUUUCUAUUUUAUUCCUGACGCUGAGGCGCGAGAGCAAGGGGAGCAAACA
rnacentral:rRNA from 1 species